ACAACUACCAGUGUUGUGGAACUAAUUCUGUGAUGCAAGUUUCUGCUCAAAAAGAAGCAAUGGUCACAGGUGCACGAUGUCAUCAUUUUGCAUAUUGCCACGGACUGUGUUAUUAACGGCAACAUCCCUUAUCUGAAAUAAUUAUUGAACGAGUUCGGGGAUGUCAAACAAAUCUUCAAUCGGUUCAUGGAGGGGCGGAUUUCGAGCGGCUUUAUCGAGCUGAAUGAGAAGUUUGACCUGACCGGCGACGCGAUCGACGACGAGACCAAGGCACUCCAGCCAAAACUGUCAGAUAUGUGCUCUGUGGUCUAAAUGUUCCAAUGCCCGACGCCAAAGCAUCGGUUCUGUCAGAACGAAAUUCCAGCUUAUCUGAUUCGGUCAUUCUUUGCCCCGGAUCCGCGUAUUGAUAGCUGUGAUGCGAAUUGGGCUCGAGAAGCUGCCCCUGCCCCAGGAUUACGUGCUCGAGGAAUUGCGGCAUAUGUUGAGCUCGUUCUUCGACGAGGAUCAGCGGAAGCAGCAAUGGAAUAGUGUUUGAACGAAUUAUGUUAUUUUAUUCGUAAUUUGUUUACUGUAUUAGUGAAAUAAGAAAAAAAAACUCUAGA